rnacentral:lncRNA from 1 species
AGUGUAUGAGGGGUUGAAGUAUGGUUGCUAGUAUUGGCCAAGACUCAGCUAUUGUUAGAGGGCAUACUCCUAAAUUAGGUUUUCAAUCUUGUCUCCCUUUUAAGUUAGGUUGCAGGUCCUCCACAAGGACUCAAAUAUAGAAAUACAGGAUCCUUCUCAGGCCAUAUUUAGUUUGCUUUAACAGGGCAUUAUGUGAAUACAUACUGUAUUCCAUUAAGAGAUCCUUGCUCUGAAGAAAUUUUAAAAGUGAAAAAAACCUUUCACAUCUGGAGAGCGCAUCUUUGGAAUGCAAUGUGAGAGAACAUUCCCCAGGAGAUGGAAACAUAUUUAUGAUCUCCAAGUUAUAGGAUGCAGCAACAAGGCACCAUCUUGGAAGCUGAAGGCAGGCCUUCACCAAACACCAAACCUGCUGCACCUUGAUCUUGGGCUUCCAGCAUUCAGAAUGGAAUCUCAGUUGGGCACGGUAGUUCACGCCUAUAAUUCAAGCACUUUCGGAAGCUGAGGUUGGAGGAUCUCUUGAGGCCAGGAGUUCAAGACCAGCCUGGGAAACGCAGAGAAACCCUGUCCCCACAAAAAGAAAAUAAAAUAAUAACUUAGCGAUUCGUAG